rnacentral:rRNA from 1 species
GCGCAGCAGGCGAGAAACCUCCGCAAUACACGAAAGUGUGACGGGGCCAUCCCGAGUGCCGUCCGCUGAGGACGGCUUUUCCCCAGUGUACAUAGCUGGGGGAAUAAGGAGAGGGCAAGCCUGGUGUCAGCCGCCGCGGUAAUACCAGCUCUCCGAGUGGUGGGGACGCUUAUUGGGCCUAAAGCAUCCGUAGCCGGCUAGGCAAGUCCUCCGUUAAAUCCAACGAUUCAAUCGUUGGGCUGCGGGGGAUACUGUCCAGCUUGGGGGGCGGGAGAGGCCGACGGUAUUCCCGGGGUAGGGGUGAAAUCCUAUAAUCCCGGGAGGACCACCAGUGGCGAAGGCUGUCGGCUAGAACGCGCCCGACGGUGAGGGAUGAAAGCUGGGGGAGCGAACCGGAUUAGAUACCCCUGUAGU